rnacentral:rRNA from 1 species
UACGUAGGGUGCAAGCGUUAAUCGGAAUUACUGGGCGUAAAGCGUGCGCAGGCGGUGAUGUAAGACAGUUGUGAAAUCCCCGGGCUCAACCUGGGAACUGCAUCUGUGACAGCAUUGCUGGAGUGCGGCAGAGGGGGAUGGAAUUCCGCGUGUAGCAGUGAAAUGCGUAGAUAUGCGGAGGAACACCGAUGGCGAAGGCAAUCCCCUGGGCCUGCACUGACGCUCAUGCACGAAAGCGUGGGGAGCAAACAGG